GGGGCUGAGAAAGCGACUUCACUGGCUACGCCCGUAGAAGGCACAUGACCACAGCAGUGGACGGGGGUUCGAUUCCCCCCAUCUCCACCA
rnacentral:tRNA from 1 species